rnacentral:lncRNA from 1 species
AUGGCCUCCCUGAUAAUGCUACUGAGUCUUCUGAUUGAUGUUUCACCUGGAGUCUUUUUCAUGUGUAAGAACGUCAGAGGAAUUUUCAUUCACAUGCCCGUUUGUAAUGGAAUAGAAAAGCAGGAGCAAACAUUAAGGCAGGAGAGUUCAGUCCCCGCGGCACUGUACAGACACAGACAGAGACAAGCUGCAGAAUACCUUCUAUUUCACACCCAAAGCUCUGCAAAAAUUACCCAGUCUUCUCUGACAAGUGAUCCUCUUAGCUGUCAAACUCUGGCUCACAUGUUCAGUACUUGAAAAUUGAAAUCUUAAAGGGCUAUAUUAAGAAGAUAAAUGCUUUCUAGAGAUGAGGAAAGAUAUUUUUAUGUAUCUAAUAAGUCACACUUGAUAGUGGCAAUAGCAUUACUUGGGUUAUGCUGUUAUUAAUAUUAGGCAAAAACUUAGAUAUCGGCUGUGAGAUUCUUUUUUUACCACUAGUCCAGAAUUCCACCAGACAACAAUUUAGCUCUUAAUUCUUUUCUGACAGGUUAAUUUUACCUUUCUUAUGUAAGGGCAUAGGAGUGUGCAUGGUUAGAGGAGAAUGAAUCCUGGUAUGUAUUGAGGUGUGAGAUGAGGACCCUUCAUUACUGGGAGAACAGUGACCACAGUGUGUGGAGUUUUCUCAAAUGUGUUUAAUUUGCUCAGCCAAGAAUUGUUCAGCACUGACUGUCAAAUAAAAGCAUAAAAAAAAAAGUUUUCUCA